AGCAGCCGCGGUAAUUCCAGCUCCAAUAGCGUAUAUUAAAGUUGUUGCAGUUAAAAAGCUCGUAGUUGAAUUUCGGGGUUAGUAGGUUGGUCAUGCCUCUGGUAUGUACUGGUCUCACUGAUUCCUCCUUCCUGAUGAGCCGUAAUGCCAUUAAUUUGGUGUUGCGGGGAAUUUGGACUGUUACUUUGAAAAAUUAGAGUGUUUAAAGCAAGCUAACGCUUGAAUACAUUAGCAUGGAAUAAUGAAAUAGGACGUUCGAUCCUAUUUUGUUGGUUUCUAGGAUUGACGUAAUGAUUAAUAGGGAUAGUUGGGGGCAUUAGUAUUCAAUUGUCAGAGGUGAAAUUCUUGGAUUUAUUGAAGACUAACUACUGCGAAAGCAUUUGCCAAGGAUGUUUUCAUUAAUCAAGAACGAAAGUUAGGGGAUCGAAGACGAUCAGAUACCGUCGUAGUCUUAACCAUAAACUAUGCCGACUAGGGAUCG
rnacentral:rRNA from 1 species